rnacentral:lncRNA from 1 species
CUGGUCUUCCUCUUCUCUUUUCUUACUUUCAGUCAUUUCUUCAUUCAAAGAAAACAAAAAGGAAAAACCCUAGCUAGCCUCCACCGCCGCCGAACGGAGUGACUGGUUGCCGCCGUCCGUGGCUGUCCGAGGAGUCUUUCUUAUGUACUGUCGGUGUUUUCCAGGUCAGAUCCCCUAUUUGAUGUCUUCUUCAUCACUCGGCGCCCAUACUGGGUCUGAUUCUUCCUGUUGCUCGUGGUCGCUUUGUCGCCGUCGUCUCGGCGUCAUUAUCUCGAAGGUCAGUGGCUUUGAUGUGCACCUGUUCUUCGAUUUUCAUUUUAUUCUCUGAAUUUCUGUUCUGAAAUCAACAAUUUAUUGAAUGAUUAUAGGGUUUUGCGUUUUGCUGAAAUCUUUGAACGAUUAUUUGAUUUAUGAGUUCUGGCUCUGUUGUACUGAUGCUGCUUUGUGUGUUUUGUGUUUUGUGUUUUAGAUUACACGGAACAAAAAAAACCAAUUACUUGGAACACUUGCACACAAACAUGCCCAGUCCUAACAGCAGCUUCCCAAUGAAUCCUUGGUUGGGUCCUUCCCUGUUCUCAGAACCUUGGCUGUAAUCAUG